rnacentral:rRNA from 1 species
GGAAUCUUCCGCAAUGGGCGAAAGCCUGACGGAGCAACGCCGCGUGAGUGAAGAAGGCCUUCGGGCCGUAAAGCUCUGUUGCCGGGGAAGAGUGGUCUAAGGGGACUUAGACAUGGACGGUACCCGGCGAGGAAGCCGCGGCUAACUACGUGCCAGCAGCCGCGGUAAUACGUAGGCGGCAAGCGUUGUCCGGAAUCAUUGGGCGUAAAGGGGGCGCAGGCGGGAACAUAAGUCUUUCCUGAAAGUUCGGGGCUCAGCCCCGUGAUGGGAAGGAAACUGUGUUUCUUGAGCGCGGGAGAGGGAAGCGGAAUUCCUGGUGUAGCGGUGAAAUGCGUAGAUAUCAGGAAGAACACCAGUGGCGAAGGCGGCUUCCUGGACCGCGGCUGACGCUGAGGCCCGAAAGCCAGGGGAGCGAACG